CUCCAGACUCCUACGGGAGGCAGCAGUAGGGAAUUUUCGGCAAUGGGGGGAACCCUGACCGAGCAACGCCGCGUGAACGAAGAAGUUAUUCGUAAUGUAAAGUUCUUUUAUCAGGGAAGAAAGAGGAAUUUGACGGUACCUGAGGAAUAAGCUCCGGCUAACUACGUGCCAGCAGCCGCGGUAAUACGUAGGGAGCGAGCGUUAUCCGGAUUUACUGGGUGUAAAGGGAGCGUAGACGGAUGGAUAAGUCUGAAGUGAAAGCCCGCGGCUCAACUGCGGGACUGCUUUGGAAACUGUGCAUCUUGAGUACGGGAGGGGCAGGCGGAAUUCCUGGUGUAGCGGUGAAAUGCGUAGAUAUCAGGAGGAACACCGGCGGCGAAGGCGGCCUGCUGGACCGAAACUGACGUUGAGGCUCGAAAGCGUGGGGAGCGAACAGGAUUAGAUACCCGCGUAU
rnacentral:rRNA from 1 species